AGAACGAACGCUGGCGGCAUGCCUAAUACAUGCAAGUCGAACGAAGGCUUCGGCCUUAGUGGCGCACGGGUGCGUAACGCGUGGGAAUCUGCCCCUUGGUUCGGAAUAACAGUUGGAAACGACUGCUAAUACCGGAUGAUGACGAAAGUCCAAAGAUUUAUCGCCAAGGGAUGAGCCCGCGUAGGAUUAGCUAGUUGGUGAGGUAAAGGCUCACCAAGGCGACGAUCCUUAGCUGGUCUGAGAGGAUGAUCAGCCACACUGGGACUGAGACACGGCCCAGACUCCUACGGGAGGCAGCAGUAGGGAAUAUUGGACAAUGGGCGAAAGCCUGAUCCAGCAAUGCCGCGUGAGUGAUGAAGGCCUUAGGUUGUAAAGCUACUUUUACCGAGAUGAUAAUGACAGUAUCGGGAAGAAGUAACGCCCCGGCUAAACCGUCCGUAGCCUAGCAGCCGAC
rnacentral:rRNA from 1 species